rnacentral:tRNA from 1 species
UGUAAAUAAGUGUAUGAUGCACAUGAAAUUUUGAUUUUUGAAGGUAAGUUUGAAUCUUAAAUUUACAA